UCUCCUCGUCUUCGUUGAGGGAGAGAUGAAGGGCAGCGGGCUCAGUACUGGCUCGGUAGUCAUGUUCAUGACAGGACCCUGGGUCAUCUUCAUCAGGGGAAGCCAUACCUUCUGAUCCCUUUCUCAGAUCGAUUGGUGCAUCCAAAUGCAGCACAGCCGACCUUGAGAGGACUUCAUGCAUUUGACCUGAAACCAAAGAAGUGAAUUGCUCCAACACCUCAGACUGUCAUCACUAACAUCUAAUGGGAUAUUUACGAAGCGAAGGUCAAACAUCUACCUCCCUCACAUUUGUCCUGAGUAGCUGAAGAAGUAUUUGGUGUUUUUAAAGAGACUCUGAUAAAACGUUGAAUCUCAUCAGCUCUUUAUUCUCAUAAACUCCAGGUUCAUAAAUGUUCUUCUUUGACAUCAUGAAACUCAGCGAGUUGUUUUAUCCUGUUUUUUGUUGUUUUAUCUAAACUGUUAUUUUCCUUUGCUUUGUCAUUUUCUCACAUUCACACCUCCUCAUUUACCCUUCAAAUGAUAUAUGGCUAAACAUUUAAGUUUCUAAAGUAACUUUUUAAAAAUGUAUCUAAAUUAGCACAUCAACUUCAAGCUGUUGAGAAAAGAUUUAACCUUGCAAGAACAAGCUGAAAACUAACAAAAUACGUUGGUUCUAGAAUAAAGAUAAUUCAUACAAAACAAAAUAACAUUUUGUUAGCAUUAUCAGCUACAUAUACUUAUCCAUCAAUUCAGGAAAUUCACAUUUUAAGGUAAAUAUUCCUUCAGCAUUAACAAUGUUUAAUAUUUCUGCUCAAGAUGUUUGAAAAACCAAAAUACAGACAGGAACUCAGAGGAAUCAUGAUGACAAGGAGAAUUUAAUGGCUGGACAUGAAACCAGGGUAAAAACAGCAGAAAAAACCCUGCAGAGAAUGAUGAGAACAAAGGAGCUUAAAUACUGAGGACUGA